GAUUCGAAUAUUGGCUACAACUUGUUCAGUUUUGGGUGCAGGAUUCAAUGUUAAAGAAAUAGUGUUCAUCAAUAUAGCAUGGCUUAUUAACUCGAAUAUGAUGGUAACGUAAUCAAUUUGGAAUAAUAUUAAAUUGAUACUGUUUAACAUAAUUAUUUGUCCACUAAUAUAAAUACAAAUCUCCAGCUAAUGGAUAGUUUAUGGACCUACAGUAAAUAAAUGUUAGUUAUUUUUUGGUGUUGUGGGUGACCGCUGAACAUUGAUUUCCAGGUUUAAGAAUACGCGAAUAGCGUUGCACUUAGUUAUAGACUUAAGAAUUAUUAUUUCCGUAUCCUCUUCACAAUCUGUUUAUUGCUGUAAGAGUUGAGGUUUUGUUUAUUUUGACCAUGAUGAACUAUUCCUUACUAGUUUGUAAAAUAAGGGUUAAACGAAUCCAAAGAGAUUAGUCUUAUUAUUUUUCGGGUUUCUAAUAAUUAGUUACCUAAUAAGAUGAAAUAAAUAAUUAGGAUACAAAGUACAAUAAUAAUUAUCAAUAUUAUUACCUACCUCCUCAAGUUGAAUGAUAAUAAAUUCAUCAAAAAAAAUUAAACACAAACAUUUCUUUUAACUAAUACUCGAUCUAUUUAUGGAAUUUUUAAUAUAGGUUGCCAUUUGAAAAUAAAAAGUAGGUAUUUAUUUUAUCCCUACAGAUUAAGGUGACAAAUAAUAUUUUAAGUCUUAAAUUUUAAACCAGCUUUUUUCUUAAAUUUUUAAAACGAAAAUAUUCAAAAAAGUAAAUACAUUCCGAGAUAUUGUGUGUGCCCAUUUUAAUGAAUUACCUUGUAUAUGAGGCGUAAUUCGUAAUCUUGCUAUCUGUAAAUAAUGUAUAAACUGUAAUAUACAGUAUUGUAUUGUUUAUGUUAUUUUUAGUGUUCAUUUUAAUCAUUUUUGUCUAUUAAACCGUACAAUUUAUACGAACAAUUAAAAAACAUUUAAUAGAUUAAUAAAUAAGAAAUACUGUCUCUCCAGCUUUCAAAAUCUCGAUGAAAAUAUUUUAAAGAUUUAAUGUACUUAUAUAAUUUAACACAUGAAAUAUCUAUGACCUUUAAAAUGUUGAUUUAACAUAAUUUGACAUUUAUAUUAUUACUCACGUUGUGUUAAUUUUGUGUUAUCUGUAAUUGCAGACAUAUUUUGCGAUAAACAUGGUUUUUGAGAUGCAAAAUCAAUCCGAUUUUCUAAUUUAUAUAAAAAAUUUGUAUUUUAAUUCAAUGAUCGGAACCGUUAUUUCAAUAUUUGUAAAAGUCAUUCUAGGGAAAUUAGUUAUACCUUGGUUGGGAGUUAAAUUGUUGAAGAAAUCCAAUCGCGGUAACGGGGAAGUAAAUAAAAAAUAAGAUUUCUUUAGUCUAAGACGUAUUAUAAGAUUGAUUUGAAUAAUAUUAUUUAUGAAUUUGUUUAAAUAUUAAUGCAUGCGGGGUAUAGAUCAUUAGUGAGAUGGUCAUCCCAUGUUAAAACAUGUUUUCUUCAUAAUUUUAUAUGUUCAAAAAUUAUUUUUUUUAUUAAUUGUAUAAUACUUUUUCAAAUAUUUUUUUUGUAUUACCUUAUAUUAUUACCAAUGCCGAUACGGUAUACAAUGUAAAGUGUACAUUGUACACUAGUAAAAAACACACAGGAUCUUUUGGAAUUUAUAUUAUUUUUAAUAUAUCAGAUUUUGAAAAAACGUUUAAUAUAUUAUUGUAACUAUUGUGUAUUUUUAUUUAUGAACUUGUACAAUUAUUGUAUUGAUU
rnacentral:lncRNA from 1 species